ACGCAUUGCUACUCAAAGGAAUUGACGGGGACCCGCACAAGCGGUGGAUGAUGUGGAUUAAUUGAUGCAACGCGAAAACCUUACCUACCCUUGACAUGUCUGGAAUCCCGAAGAGAUUUGGGAGUGCUCGCAAGGGGAACCGGAACACAGGUGCUGCAUGGCUGUCGUCAGCUCGUGUCGUGAGAUGUUGGGUUAAGUCCUGCAACGAUGCAACCCUUGUCAUUAGUUGCUACGAAAGGGCACUCUUAAUGAGACUGCCGGUGACAAACCGGAGGAAGGUGGGGAUGACGUCAAGUCCUCAUGGCCCUUAUGGGGUAGGGCUUCACACGUCAUACAAUGGUCGGGACAGAGGGUCGCCAACCCGCGAGGGGGAGCCAAUCCCAGAAACCUGAUCGUGGUCCGGAUCGCAGUCUGCAACUCGACUGCGUGAAGUCGGAAUCGCUAGUAAUCGCGGAUCAGCAUGUCGCGGUGAAUACGUUCCCGGGUCUUGUACACACUGCCCGUCACACCAUGGGAGUGGGUUUUACCAGGAAGUAUAGCCUAACCGUAAGGAGGGCGAUUACCACGGUAGGAUUCAUGACUGGGGUGAAGUCGUAACAAGGUAG
rnacentral:misc_RNA from 1 species